GAUGAACGCUGGCGGCGUGCCUAAUACAUGCCAGUCGAGCGAACAGACGAGGAGCUUGCUCCUCUGACGUUAGCGGCGGACGGGUGAGUAACACGUGGAUAACCUACCUAUAAGACUGGGAUAACUUCGGGAAACCGGAGCUAAUACCGGAUAAUAUAUUGAACCGCAUGGUUCAAUAGUGAAAGACGGUUUAGCUGUCACUUAUAGAUGGAUCCGCGCCGCAUUAGCUAGUUGGUAAGGUAACGGCUUACCAAGGCAACGAUGCGUAGCCGACCUGAGAGGGUGAUCGGCCACACUGGAACUGAGACACGGUCCAGACUCCUACGGGAGGCAGCAGUAGGGAAUCUUCCGCAAUGGGCGAAAGCCUGACGGAGCAACGCCGCGUGAGUGAUGAAGGUCUUCGGAUCGUAAAACUCUGUUAUUAGGGAAGAACAAAUGUGUAAGUAACUAUGCACGUCUUGACGGUACCUAAUCAGAAAGCCACGGCUAACUACGUG
rnacentral:rRNA from 1 species